rnacentral:lncRNA from 1 species
AUUGAGAGCCAGGCCUAGAGAUGGGAAGUUCUGGUUUCAAAUCUGGACUCAGACACUUCCUAGCUGUGUGACCCUGGACAAGUCAUUUAACCCCCAUUGUCUAGCCCUUACCACUCUUCUACCUUAGAACUAAUCACAGUACUGAUUCUAAGACAGAAGGUGAGGGUUUAGAAAAAAGAAUCAUAGAAUGUAAGAAAACAGAGCAUAAUAUGCCAGAACUAAGGUGAAACUUAGAACACAAAAUGGCACAACUGAGAGGCAGGGAGAAUAGAAUAUAGAGUAUAGAAGGGCAGAUCUAAGUGAGACCUGAGACAUUGAAUGUCAGAGCCAUGCAGGCCUUUCCAACAUAGACAAUGGCAGAGCUAAGAAGGGCCUUAGAACCAGAUCUCUAACUAGAAAUCAUUUCAUCUGGGGCAAAUCCAGGCUUUUGGGGGGUGGAGGAGGGCAAAAAAUGCAUAAAACACACCAAUAAUGUAUGUAAUCAUUCAGGGUGAUGGAUGCGUCUCACCCCAGAGAGAUGGGAUAUAGGGAGGAAGAGGUCUCAGCAAAACAACAGAACUUGCUACCACUUCAUAUCACUCAAGCUGGCAAACCUUACCCAUCCUCAACCCAGUCUAGACCCCAAGGAGAAGGAGAAGGAAAAGGAGAAGGAGAAGGAGAAGGAGAAGGAGAAGGAGAAGAAGGAGAAGGAUAUUCAUCAAACACUGAGUGUUACCCAACUUUUGUGGGUCCUCCUCCUGACACAGGAACCCUCAAAAACUGGCAGGGGCAGUGCCAAAAGGGAAGUGAACCACUGAGAGAACUAGAAGAGGAAGAAGGACCAGGACCAGGUGAGCAGACUCCCAAGCUGCAGCAGAGGGAAAAACAAGAUUGAUAUGUUAUUCCCAUGAAUAUUUUAGGGCAUCCUACUGAGGACAGCCAGAAGGUGUGUGUGUCGUGUGUGUGUGUGUGUGUGUGUGUGUGUGUGUGUGUGUGUGUGUGUGUGUGUGUGUGUGUUGAAGAAAGAAAGAGAGAGAAGAAAGAAAGGAUGAGAGAAGGUAAAAAAGAGAGGAGGGAACGUGAAAGAGAGGGAGGGAGGGAGAGAGAGACAGACAGACAGACAGACCGACAGACAAAGAGAGAGACAGAGAGACAGAGAGAGAGACAGAGAGAGAGAGUUAGAGAGAGAGGACAGACAGAGACAGAGACAGAGAGACAGAGAUAGAUAGAGACAGACAGACAGAGACAGAGAGACAGAGAGACAGACAGAGAGGACAGAGAGAGACAGACAAAGAGACAGAGAGACAGAGAGAGACAGAGAGAGAGACAGACAGACAGACAGACAAAGAGACAGAGACAGACAGACAGACAGACAGAUAGAG